CUCGUAGGCGGCUUGUCGCGUCCGGUGUGAAAGUCCAUCGCUUAACGGUGGAUCUGCGCCGGGUACGGGCAGGCUAGAAUGCGGUAGGGGAGACUGGAAUUCCCGGUGUAACGGUGGAAUGUGUAGAUAUCGGGAAGAACACCAAUGGCGAAGGCAGGUCUCUGGGCCGUUAUUGACGCUGAGGAGCGAAAGCGUGGGGAGCGAACA
rnacentral:rRNA from 1 species